GGUUUAUCCAACUCGUUGAUACAGGUGGUGCGAUUCUUCAUUAGGCUUUGCCUUAUAAAACACAAACAAGUUUGACCUCAAAUCAGGUAGGAUUACCCGCUGAACUUAAGCAUAUCAAUAAGCGGAGGAAAAGAAACCAACAGGGAUUGCCUUAGUAACGGCGAGUGAAGCGGCAAAAGCUCAAAUUUGAAAUCUAGCACCUUCGGUGUUCGAGUUGUAAUUUGAAGAAGGUAACCUUGGGAUUGGCUCUUGUCUAUGUUUCUUGGAACAGAACGUCACAGAGGGUGAGAAUCCCGUGCGAUGAGAUGACCAAUUCUAUGUAAGGUGCUUUCGAAGAGUCGAGUUGUUUGGGAAUGCAGCUCUAAGUGGGUGGUAAAUUCCAUCUAAAGCUAAAUAUUGGCGAGAGACCGAUAGCGAACAAGUACAGUGAUGGAAAGAUGAAAAGAACUUUGAAAAGAGAGUGAAAAAGUACGUGAAAUUGUUGAAAGGGAAGGAUAUGAGAUCAGACUUGGUGUUUUGCAACCUUAUCUUCGGAUGGGGCCCCUGCAGUUCAUCGGGCCAGCAUCAGUUUGGAUGGUAGGAUAAUGACAUUGGAAUGUGACUUGGCUUCGGUUAAGUGUUAUAGCCCUUGUUGAUACUGCCUGUCUAGACUGAGGACUGCGUCUU
rnacentral:rRNA from 1 species